GACGUAGGAUGCGAGCGUUGUCCGGAAUUAUUGGGCGUAAAGCGUACGUAGGCGGUUCUUUAAGUUUGGGGUUAAAGACCAAGGCUCAACCUUGGGGGUGCCCUGAAUACUGGGGAACUGGAGGGUGGCAGAGGAAAGUGGAAUUCCCAGUGUAGCGGUGAAAUGCGUAGAUAUUGGGAGGAACACCAGUGGCGAAAGCGACUUUCUGGGCCAUUCCUGACGCUGAGGUACGAAAGCCAGGGGAGCAAACGGG
rnacentral:rRNA from 1 species